UCUUUCCCAUUGGCAUUGGUGGAGGUGCAGCUACCUUUCCCAUUGGCGUCGGCGGAGGGGGUGGUGGAGUUGCUCUAUUUGAUUCCUUUGGUGGAAGUGGAUGUGGGGUUACCAUACCCUUUAGUCCUUUGUGAGGUGAACAUGGAGGUGGAGGCGGAGGCGGAGGUGAAUGUACAUUUUCUGAUUUCCUGGGAGGUGGCGGCGGAGGACAAGGCACUGCUCUAUUUUUUGAUGUAAUUGGAGGUGGUGGAGGUGGAGGUGGAGAUGUUACUGUGUUUCCUGAUGUAAUACAGGCUGGUGGUGAUGCUGGUUCUGGCUCGUUGUUCUCACACGAGGAAUCUGGUUGAGGUGAUGUUGGUACUUGCGAUUCUAUGAUUUUCGGUGAUAAAAUGUUUGGA
rnacentral:lncRNA from 1 species